rnacentral:rRNA from 1 species
CGGCGGACGGGUGAGUAACGCGUGGGUAACCUACCCUGUACACACGGAUAACACACCGAAAGGUAUGCUAAUACGGGAUAAUAUAUUUGAGAGGCAUCUCUUGAAUAUCAAAGGUGAGCCAGUACAGGAUGGACCCGCGUCUGAUUAGCUAGUUGGUAAGGUAACGGCUUACCAAGGCGACGAUCAGUAGCCGACCUGAGAGGGUGAUCGGCCACAUUGGAACUGAGACACGGUCCAA